rnacentral:rRNA from 1 species
GAUGAACGCUGGCGGCGUGCUUAAUACAUGCAAGUCGAACGAGGGACUUCUGUCUUCGGAUGGAGGUUUCCUAGUGGCGAACGGGUGAGUAACGCGUUGGUGACCUGCCCCGAAGUGGGGGAUAACAGUUCGAAAGGACUGCUAAUACCUCAUGUGAUCAGCUGGAUUAGAUGCCUAUUGAUUAAAGGCGAAAGCCGCUUUGGGAGGGGCCUGCGUCCCAUCAGCUAGUUGGUAGGGUAAUGGCCUACCAAGGCGAUGACGGGUAGGGGACCUGAGAGGGUGGCCCCCCACACUGGCACUGAAACACGGGCCAGACACCUACGGGUGGCAGCAGUAGGGAAUAUUGGACAAUGGGCGAAAGCCUGAUCCAGCAACGCCGCGUCGCGAUGACGGCCUUCGGUUGUAAGCGCUUUAGAGGAGAUGAGAAAGGACAGUAUCCUCAGAAUAAGCCUCGCGAACUACGUGCCAGCAGCCGCGUAAACGUGUAGUCGU